UAACGCGUUAAGUAUCCCGCCUGGGGAGUACGGUCGCAAGAUUAAAACUCAAAGAAAUUGACGGGGGCCCGCACAAGCGGUGGAGAAUGUGGUUUAAUUCGAUGCAACGCGAAAAACCUUACCUGGGUUUGGAAUCCCAUGAACGCCGGAGAGAUCCGGAAGACUCGAAAGAGACAUGGAGACAGGUGCUGCAUGGCUGUCGUCAGCUCGUGUCGUGAGAUGAUGGGUUAAGUCCCGCAACGAGCGCAACCCUUAUCUUUAGUUGCCAGCAUUCAGUUGGGCACUCUAGAGAGACUGCCAACGUUAAGUUGGAGGAAGGUGGGGAUGACGUCAAGUCCUCAUGGCCUUUAUAUCCAGGGCAACACACGUUCUACAAUGGUCGGUACAAAGCGUAGCUAAACUGCGAAGUGGAGCCAAUCGCAAAAAACCGAUCUAAGUUCAGAUUGGAGUCUGCAACUCGACUCCAUGAAGUUGGAAUCGCUAGUAAUCGCGGAUCAGCAUGCCGCGGUGAAUACGUUCCCGGGCCUUGUACACACCGCCCGUCACACCAUGAAAGCUUACUGUACCAGAAGUCAUCGUGCUAACCGCAAGGAGGUAGAUGCCUAAGGUAUGGUCAGUGAUUGGGGUGAAGUCGUAACAAGGUAGCCGUA
rnacentral:rRNA from 1 species